rnacentral:rRNA from 1 species
UACGAAGGGGGCUAGCGUUGCUCGGAAUUACUGGGCGUAAAGGCUCGUAGGCGGCCAACUAAGUCAUACGUGAAAUCCCUCAGCUUAACUGGGGAACUGCGUGUGAUAUGACUGGCUGGUUGGAUGGAGGAGUGCGCGAAUUCCAGGUGUAGCGGUGAAAUGCGUAGAUAUCUGGAGGAACACCGGUGGCGAAGGGCGGCAUCCUGGACCGGUAUUGACGCUGAGCGCGAAGCCAGGGGAAGCCAAAGCGGG